rnacentral:rRNA from 1 species
AAUAGAUACCCGGGUAGUCCUAGCCGUAAACGAUACUCGCUAGGUGUCGGCCACGGUGCGACCGUUGUCGGUGCCGUAGGGAAGCCGUGAAGCGAGCCACCUGGGAAGUACGGCCGCAAGGCUGAAACUUAAAGGAAUUGGCGGGGGAGCACCACAACGGGUGGAGCUUGCGGUUUAAUUGGAUUCAACGCCGGAAAUCUUACCGGGACCGACAGCAAUAUGAAGGCCAGGCUGAAGACUUUGCCGGAUUAGCUGAGAGGUGGUGCAUGGCCGUCGUCAGUUCGUACUGUGAAGCAUCCUGUUAAGUCAGGCAACGAGCGAGACCCACGCCCACAGUUGCCAGCGUACUCUCUGGAGUGACGGGUACACUGUGGGGACCGCCGCUGCUAAAGCGGAGGAAGGAAUGGGCAACGGUAGGUCAGUAUGCCCCGAACAUCCCGGGCUACACGCGAGCUACAAUGGUUGGUACAAUGGGUAUCUACCCCGGAAAGGGGACGGGAAUCUCCUAAAACCAAUCUUAGUUCGGAUUGAGGGCUGCAACUCGCCCUCA